GACCAGACUCCUACGGGAGGCAGCAGUGAGGAAUAUUGGUCAAUGGGCGGGAGCCUGAACCAGCCAAGCCGCGUGAGGGAAGGAGGUACAGCGUAUCGUAAACCUCUUUUGUCAGGGAACAAAGGCGGGGACUAGUCCCCGGAUGAGGGUACCUGAAGAAAAAGCAUCGGCUAACUCCGUGCCAGCAGCCGCGGUAAUACGUAGGGGGCGAGCGUUAUCCGGAUUCACUGGGUGUAAAGGGAGCGUAGACGGCCAUGCAAGCCAGGGGUGAAAGCCCGGGGCCCAACCCCGGGACUGCAUUUGAAACUGUCAGGCUGGAGUGCAGGAGAGGUAAGUGGAAUUCCUAGUGUAGCGGUGAAAUGCGUAGAUAUUAGGAGGAACACCAGUGGCGAAGGCGGCUUACUGGACUGUAACUGACGUUGAGGCUCGAAAGCGUGGGGAGCAAACAGGAUUAGAUACCCUUGUA
rnacentral:rRNA from 1 species